GGCGCGGGGCUCUGCCUGGGCUCCGCCCGGGCUGCCGGAGGGUCGCGGCGGCGGCGCAGCGCGGCCCGGCUCCGCUCCGCUCCGCUCCGCUCCGCUCCGCUCCAGCGCCUGGGACGCGCCCGGCCGUGGCGCGCUCAGAAAGCCCCGACAGAUCCGGCAUCGCUUCCGUGGCGGGGACCGGAAGCUUUCCGGAAGCUUCUCUUUCGUUUGAAGCCAUGCUGGAAGGACGAGGAAGGGUUUAAGGACAGAGCGUAAGGCAGGCGCCCUGCGCUCUGAGGGGAAAUGACUUUAAAAGGAGGUGUCUUCAUAUCUUUGCUAAUGAGAAACUUGGUAAAGAAUGGGGAGAGAUAUAGCAAGAGAGCAAAGGAGAGACCAUGUAUACAAUACUGAAUUAUGCAGAAUUUCUCUGUUCUCCUACAAAAACCUGCAUGGCUAUUUUAUUUGUUGAGCUGGUAUUCAGAUAAGAGUGGAGGCUACUGGAAUGUGUGCAUGUUUCCAGCUUAGGAACUAUCAAACUGGCUUAUCCUCAGGUGAUGAGUCUGACGUGUCCUAGUGAGCUCCUGCUGUCACUCCGAUAGAGUCCAAACUGCUGUGGGAAUGAAGAAAACAGGAAUAAUACUAGCACUGGGCUGGCCAGAGCACACUUAUGUUCCCCACAUCAGGGCCUGUGCCAGUCAUGUUAACCACAACACAAGCCAUCCUGAAAUCUUAGUAUUGCACUUCUGCUGCAAAGAUUUCAAGGACUAUCGAUGGAUUGGCAGCUCAGCUAAGAAGCCAAGCUUUAAUACGUAUGCACAAGCAAACUCAUAUACACACUUACACAUACUUGAGGGAAGUAUAGAGGAAGACACCCUUAAAACUAUAUUUAGUUGCAGAGGAAAUGUUUUUUAAAAGCUCUUCAUUCAUCUGGAAAAUAUCUCAAUGUUAGUAAAGUCAUUACAAACCUGGAUUAUCUAGUUAAUAUUGUAACUGCUGUCUGCUUCAGUCAGUCCAGGCUAAGAACAAGAUUUGAAUGGUAUCUCACUUACGAGCUAGGUCUGCAAAACUGCUAAUGCCAUUCAGAUCUCAGCCACUGUGGUACUAGAAAACAGAACAAAAGAGAAGCCAUAUUAAUUUCCUGCAUCACAAUUGUGUGUACCUUGAUUUCCAGAGGGUUAGCAUCUCGGCUGGCCCCAGUUCCUAACUGUUCCCUGCUGGGUGAACACAGUUCUUAGAAUCACAUUCCAGUAAAGAUAACUCUGAGUACGAUUCUGGCAUCCCCUUCCUGUGCAAAGGUUACUGUAUUUGCCUGAAAUUUUUUCAGUAAGAUCUGUGCCCAUUAGCUUCUUCCUGAGAAUGUGGUAACAAAGAUAUUUUAUUUUUAUAUAUAUACACUAUAUAUACUAUAUAUAUAUAUAUAUAUAUACACACACAAGGUGUGUAAAUACACACACACACACACCCCCCUUGUGAAACCUUACUUCAUUCAGCUCAAAAGGAACACAACCCAGCUGAGUAAUAUUUGAAACAAAUCACAGAAUCACAGAAGGGUUGAGGUUGGAAGAGACUUCUGGAGAUCAUCUAAUCCAAUUCCUCUGCUCAAGCAGGGUCACCUAGAGCACGUUGCCCAGGAUUGUGUUCAGAUGGCUUUUGACUAUCUCCAGAGAAGGAGGCUCCACAACCUCUCUGCACAACCUGUUCCAGUGCUCUGUCACCCUCACAGUAAAAAAGUUUUUCCUCAUGUUCAGAUGGAACUUCCUGUGUUUCAGUUUGUGCCUGUUGCCUCUCGUCCUAUCGCUGGGCACCACUGAGAAGAGUCUGGUCCCAUCCUCUCGACACCCUCCCUUCAGAUACUUAUACACAUUGAUAAGAUCCCCCCCUUAGUCUUCUCAGCUUCAGGCUGAACAGUCCC
ensembl:lncRNA